rnacentral:misc_RNA from 1 species
AAUUUACAAGACUAUGAAUUUUUGUUCAUUUCGUGCUCUAGAAUGAGAUGGUAUGGGGUAAGAAUAGAGGGGUUGUUGGAACAUUUAAAAAGAAUAAUGAAGGUAGAAGAAUGAUCCAAGCAUUGGAAGGAAGGGCACAUUGAGAAAAAAGAAGGUGGUGGUGGUGGUAGGGGAGUAGAGCUUAAAGUAGAGGAUGAAGUGUGAAGUUUGAAGUUGGUGGAGGGCAGUUUGGAGAAAAGGUAUAUCAAGAGAUUUUGAAAGUGAUUAAGGCUAAGACGGUGAUGCCAGUGCUACUAGGCACCAAUUGCAUUUGCUACUGCCAGCCAGUUGAGCUUGAGCUCAAAGUUCUAAAGUGCUGGGUCAUUGUCACACUUAUUUAUCAAAAGAAGAAGAGUUAACCUAAGUUGUUUUCUCCUAAGGUAGAAGAAGAGUUAACCUAAGUUGUUUUCUCCUAAGGU